AGCGAACGCUGGCGGCAGGCCUAACACAUGCAAGUCGAACGAACCUUUCUGGGUUAGUGGCGGACGGGUGAGUAACACGUGGGAACGUGCCUUUAGGUUCGGAAUAACUCAGGGAAACUUGUGCUAAUACCGAAUGUGCCCUUCGGGGGAAAGAUUUAUCGCCUUUAGAGCGGCCCGCGUCUGAUUAGCUAGUUGGUUGAGGUAAUGGCUCACCAAGGCGACGAUCAGUAGCUGGUCUGAGAGGAUGAUCAGCCACAUUGGGACUGAGACACGGCCCAAACUCCUACGGGAGGCAGCAGUGGGGAAUCUUGCGCAAUGGGCGAAAGCCUGACGCAGCCAUGACGCGUGAAUGAUGAAGGUCUUAGGAUUGUAAAAUUCUUUCACCGGGGACGAUAAUGACGGUACCCGGAGAAGAAGCCCCGGCUAACUUCGUG
rnacentral:rRNA from 1 species